GGAUUGUGGCUCAGCGGUAGAGCACUCGCUUAGCAAGGGCGGGACCUGGGAUCAAUCCUCAGCACCA
rnacentral:tRNA from 1 species